GGAAAGUCGUAUUCCCGAUCUAGUUUCUUACAUAAAAACUAUAUCCCUUGCCUAACAUUUUUUGGUUUAUCAGACACAUUUGCUCAGCGUUGUUGACAGUGUGAUGAUGUUUAAAGCUGAUCAACAGGCAGUUUUGACAGGACCUACGCAGUUGUUUGUUUUUUUUAUGCAGGAACGACAAAUAAAGACAAAGGUUGACAGGUCAUCUCUGCAAUUUUAUUAUUUUUUUUAUGUGUUGUAAUAGCGUCCCACUUCUACGCGUCAACUGCCAUUGUUUAGCAUCUCCGUGGAAAACGAUUGGUACGCAAACGUUUAUGUACACCCCAUGUGGUAAACCCGAUUUCUCAAUUAGGAAAUGCGCGUGGCUUAUUGGGUGUUAUAAAUAGUUGGAUUGGUGCUGCGUAUGGGCUGCUGAUUACAGCAGAGUCAGCGUUCGUUGCGCGAUUGGAACUGCCCCAGACAAAAAGUCUUCAUCUUUUACUAAUAAGCAGUUAAACCAUGAUACUAGAAUAUUUUAACAUUUUCUGAAUUUGCCUGUGAUGAUUUCUUUUAUUCUUCUCAUUUAAUAGACAAAUUGUGCUUGUUUGAUAUUACUGAUUGUAGCCGUUACGUCAACCAGCUUGGAUUCCAACAGCGACAUGGCUGAUAACAAGGAUUACUCACUUCCAGCAGAAACCUCUGCAGUUAUCGGGUGGAGCCUCGAAUACCUCCGUCCCCAUUGCUUAGGAUUGAGAAGAAACAGUUCCAUCAGCAGUCUGCAAAAUGCCGAACGUUCAUGGUGCCACUAUUGUAACGUCGUUAGGAUCCUUUAGGAUAUCUUUUGUGGUUUUUAUACGGUAAAUGUUUUAUUUAAAAACAAUAGUCUUUGUUGUAGGAUCCUGCAACUAUCAUUAAAUUAGGAGGACUGCGUCCUGCUAAUAAUAAGCGGAAAAAUCCUGUGUGCCCGUGACUCGCGUUGCAACCAUUUCAUUCACGAAUGUUGGUUCCUCAGAUUGUGGGGAUUUCGUAAUAGAAAAGUAUCGUUUGCCUAUUUUGAAACUACCCGAUGAGAAUCUAACACAUCAGCGUCAACAAACGUGAAAGAAUGGUGUGAUGUUUUUUGUCACUAAUGACGCAAAAUUAAAAUGUCUGCCCAGGAAUCGGCCCGUUCGAAUCCCAGGAAAAUAUGGAUGGAUUGUAUUUGUUUAUAUAUUUAAACAUUCCUAUGGGAAGGUAUUGACCAAUAAGAACAAACAAAGGAAAGUAACCCCUGGGUUCCUGAUUUCUUUGCCUCUCACAGUUACGUAGGAAGAAAGAAUCCUUCAAAAAAAAUAUUCUAAGUCCAGAAGUGGCUCUCAAAAUGAUGAGGACUAGUAGUGAAAAUAGAAAUGUCUAUCAUCGUUGAUUGGUAGAGCAUCGGAUAAACAAGUCAAAUGUUUGGUGUUCCAUUCUCAACCGUGUUGUAAAGAUAAUAGAAAAAAACGUUACUGUUACAAAUUUAUAAUGUAAUAUUGCUGGUGUAAAUGGCUUAUCUUAAUUUGACAGGAAAAUAAUUAUACAUCACUUAUGGCUUAAUGGUUGAGCUUCGGCAUCGGGGAUCGAUUCCCAUAUGAGGUAAAUUAUAAAUCAUAAACUGUUUAAAAGUCUAAUCUGAGAACGACAAUAUAUGCGAACGUUGCACGAUUAUGAAUACAGUUCAAAUUACCUUAUAAAAA